ACGGAAGGCAGCAGUGAGGAAUAUUGGUCAAUGGGCGAGAGCCUGAACCAGCCAUGUCGCGUGGAGGAAUAAGGAUCUAUGGUUCGUAAACUCCUUUUGCGGGGGGAUAAAGUGCGGGACGCGUCCCGUUUUGUAGGUACCCUAUGAAUAAGCAUCGGCUAACUCCGUGCCAGCAGCCGCGGUAAUACGGAGGAUGCGAGCGUUAUCCGGAUUUAUUGGGUUUAAAGGGUGCGCAGGCGGCACGUUAAGUCAGCGGUGAAAUGCAGGGGCUCAACCCCGGCACUGCCGUUGAAACUGGCGAGCUCGAGUACGGAUGAAGUCGGCGGAAUGUGAUGUGUAGCGGUGAAAUGCUUAGAUAUGUCACAGAACACCGAUUGCGAAGGCAGCUGACUAAUCCGCAACUGACGCUCAGGCACGAAAGCGUGGGGAUCGAACAGGAUUAGAUACCCUGGUA
rnacentral:rRNA from 1 species